rnacentral:rRNA from 1 species
GGGCUCACACAAGCGGUGGAGGAUGUGGCUUAAUUCGAGGCAACGCGAAGAACCUUAUCCUGGAUUUGACAUGUAUGGAUUAACUCUGUGAAAGCAGAGCCACGCCUUCGGGUGGAACAUACACAGGUGCUGCAUGGCUGUCGUCAGCUCGUGUCGUGAGACGUCGCGUUAAGUCGCUUAACGAGCGCAACCCUUGUCCUUAGUUGCCAGCACGUAAUGGUGGGGACUCUAAGGAGACUGCCGGUGUUAAACCGGAGGAAGGCGGGGACGACGUCAAGUCAUCAUGGCCUUUAUGUCCAGGGCUGCACACGUCCUACAAUGCAAGCAUACAAAGGGCAGCGAACCCGCGAGGGUAAGCAAA